rnacentral:lncRNA from 1 species
CAAUAGAAUCCCAUUCCCUUCCCCGCCAAGGAUACAAAAAUGCAGAAAAAUCAACUUUCCAAUGAUAGUUAUGACUGUUUAUCAUAAAAAAAAAGUAGUUCAGCCAAGCAAAAUGAUUGAAAUUUUUUAUAUUCAAAGACAUUUCAGAGACGGUUAGGUUUCUGGAUAUGAAACCAAUCGAGAACGCCACACGCACACUCAAACAAGAACACAGAACAACAAAGAAAGAAUCUAUAUUGAAUUUCUCUCAACUAUACAGUACACCCCCACACCUCUAAGGGAGCCUAAUUUUCCCUCCACAGGAUAACAGAAUCCUGACUAUACAAAAGAAUUCCAAAAAACUCCCCUGUACACAAAAUAAGAGAUGAACUCUUUUCCUACGCCCUACCUAACUGCCUAACUGUUAUGAAAGUUAGGUUUCACUCUAUCAUUUUCUCCUUCUCUCAUAAACCCUCCAUACUCUAUCAUUAUCCGCCGCCUGAUGAUUAACCUUGUCCACAAGGUUGAAAUCAAGAAACUGAUCCUUGAUCAUCCCGACAUCCUCCCAAGUGGCUCCUUUUGAUUCCCCUUCCUGCCAUUCCAUCAGGACCUGCUGUCUAGUCUCCCCAUCCUACAGCUUUCAUCUUCAAUCUAUCACUCUACGAGGCCAGAAUGUCGGCCCAUCAGUUUGCAGAUCAGCUGGUAAGUCCUUUUCCACUGGUUGCGUUCCCACUACCACUUUUAAUUGUGACACAUGGAAUACUGGAUGUAUUCUGGUUGUGUCUGGCAGUAGUAGCUUGAAAGCUACCUUCCCCAACCUUACAUAUACUCUCAUUACCCUAACAUUACCCACCCCUCCAUCCACAACCUUGUCCUAAAGGUUGAAUGCAGGGAAUUGGUCCUUAAUAGUUGCCUCGUCCUCCCAUGUAGCACCUUCUCUGCCCCCUCCUUUUGUCCUUCUACCAGGACUUGAUGAGUUAUCUCUUUCUCCUUGUUGGAUUUGUCUACAGAGCUGGUCCCUUUGCUUGUAGCUCCUUAUAUCCACUUCCCUUCUCUUUCUGUUGGCUUGUUGCUUUGGACCAGGCUGGAUACAAGAUUUGAUCAAAGCAGCAACUUGUUCCCGUUGUUCUUGUUGAAAGGACGCCAUAGAUGGAUCCGCCAUUUCUUUGAGGGGUCGAUCCCCAUGUAAAUAUUGCGAAACCCAGUCAUCAAUAUGGUUCACUUUUGAUAUGGUAUCUAUCUUCUUCCUAAAUUGGGCUUCUAAAGUCUUUGACCAAUCUUUUGAUGAUAUCGCUGCAACAGAGGCCACGGCUGUCAACACUAGUGGACAAAGCCCCUUUGUAUACUGUUAUGAAUGCCUUCUCAAGUUGUCUACUUAAUCCUAUCGCCCAAGGUUUUACAAUAGCUACCUUAUUUGUUUUGCAGAGAUAUAUGCCCAUGAUUGAAAUGACAAGAAAUAGAACACUUCCUAUAACUCCAGCCAAAACAGCAACAAGAUUGCUAUCUAAUGAACCACUUGGAGAUGGGGGUACAGAGCGCGGUUCAGACCGAGAAGGAGAAGGAGAAACAGAAUCAUUUCGGUCCGUGAAAGCUGGGUCCUCAACCGAUGGUGGUGUUGUUGGGGCGGGUGAGGGAGCUUUCUUAUUUUUGCCAAUGGGCCGUUUGAUGAAUCUUCUUGUACAAGCGGCCACUUCUGCUGCCAGACUCAGUUGCCUUUCAUCGGAACGAGUAAUCCCCCUCCUUCCGCCUAUUCUCGACCUGCUUCUCAAUUUCGCCCUUCAUAAGGUGAGGAUAUCGAUAGGGUCUCACCUUUAUAGGAUCAACUCCAUCUUUGAUUUGUAUAUGGUGUUCUUUGUUUCGUGGUGGGGGUAAUCCCUGUAAAUCUCGACACAGGGGAUAGUGCGCCUGCAGCACAACCUUUAAUUGCUUUUUUUGCGCCUCUGUCACGUCGUCACCCCACUCACCGCUGUCCCCUGCCUCCACUAUGCACAGAUUCCAAACCGCAGCCCAUGACUCAGCUUCCACUAACUUCAACAAGCUCCUGGAGUUCACCAGUUGUCUCGACAAGGUUGGGUUGCCUUUUAUACAGAUUUUUUUAUCCCCCACAUUAUAAGCCAUGGUCAUUUUUCCCCAAUUGGUACUUACUUCCCCUAGCUUUUCCAGCCAUGCAACGCCCAGAAUCACAUCCACGUCCCCCAGCUCAAAGACAUAAAAUUCUUCUUCCACGUCAACCUCUUCCAACUGCACCGUCACCUUCUCACAUCGUUCACGGGUCACUCGCCGAUGCCCAUCACCCAGACUCACGAGAUACGCCGGGGUGUCCGUCAUUAGUAAUCUCAAUUCCUCCGUGAUUCGCCGGCUGAUAUAGUUGUGGCUUGCGCCACUAUCGAUUAGCACUACUACACUCCGUUCACCGAUCUUCCCCGUCAGUUUCAACGUUUUGGAAGAAGUCAACCCCUCGGCAGAACAAGCCGAUAACUCCAAAAGCUUCUCCCCCUGGUGAUCGGAUUCUUCACCCACUUCUUCCUCUUCGUCUUUCGCUAACAGCACCCUGAGACUCCUCUCGGUGCACCGGUGGCCUGGAGCAAAUGGGCCUUCGCAUCGAUAGCAUCGACCCUCUUCUCGCCUCUUGAGAAACUCGGGAUAGGGUAAGUUUCGGACCACUCUGGCUCGACCAUCACCACCAGUCGCAAGGCUCCCUCUCGCCGUCAUGCUCGAUGCCACUCCUUCUCUUCUCGCGGUUCCUCCACCCUCCGUUCUUCCCACUUGGGUCAUCCCACUUGGGUCAUCGUGGUUUUAACAGGUUCCGAUCGCGUCACGCUCCCGAUGGGUCGCGCAAUGAAUGGGUUCGUCUUAAACCCACUUGCAUGCCAACCUUGAACCCUCAUCGUCGCAUCUUCCACAUCCCUCGCUAUCCUCAUCGCCUCCAUCAAUUCAGAAAGAUUCUUAAUUCGCACCUGCCCCUUCACGUCUUCCCGUAACCCGGCCAAGAAAUAACCCAACACCUGUUCCUCCGGUAUCCCUUUCGUUUGCCCCAUCAAAACUUCGAAACUUCGAACAAAUUCUUCCAACGUGCCUUCUUGACGCACAGUGGCCAGUCCUUCGAACACCGUGCCCCUGAAUCCCCCUCCAAAGCGAUUAAUCAUGGUCGUCUUCAAUCCAUCCCACGAUCGGUUCGAUUUCGGGCCUUCUCUUUCCAAAACGUAAACCAGUACGCCGCACUCCCCUCCAUACUCACAUAAGCAAGCUCCACCUUUUCUUCAUCAUCCGUUACUUUCUGUCAAAAAACCUUUCCGCCCGAUUGAGCCAACUGAGUGGCUCCUCUCCUUCAAAGGUAGGUAACUCUACCCUCUUCCUCCAAGGUUUCUGUUCUCCUCCUUUUCCACCAUUUUCGCCCACUCCGUUCACCUUGGGUCCUCUAUGAUGAUUAUCGUUGAUAGAGCUAUCCUCCGAACUCCCUUCCGUCUGAGGACCGUGAUGGCCUUGCGUUCCCAAAAUCUUCAUCAUUUGUUGAAGGUCCCUUCGUACCGCCACCGAUUCAGCCUUCAUACCCUCCAUCGUAAUCUCAAUUGCUUCAAGCCUUGCCUCCGUCGCAUUCUCCAUCCUCGCGUCGUUCCCAAAUCGUUUGGAUCCGGCAAGUCGGACCAAAUUGAUAGGUUUCUAAUAGAGAAACCUAAUCACUGCUCAAACAAACACAUCUUAUUAGACAAUGAAAAGAAUGCAAGAAUGAAGUGGACUAUGGGAGCCUAACCUCCCCCAACAAGACUAAACAGUCUGUUCUGAAUACACGAAUGAACAAAAGUAUCCUCUCUUAUUCCACACAGCUAUUUAUACAGAUGUAAGUCUCCCGCCCUUCCUAACUGUCUAAACAGUUAGGCCAACUAACAUCAACUAACAUUUCACUUACAUUUCUUCCUCCUUACAUAUACUCUCAUUACCCUAUCACCUCCACUUGUUUUUCAAUCUCCCCCUUCACCAUAUGGGGAUAUCAGUAAGGUCGAACAUUGAUGGGGUCAACGCCCUCUUUCAAAGGUAUCUUGUGAACCAUUUCACGAUCUGGCGGUAAACCUCUGGGUUCCUGAGAAACCCUUGCAUAUUGUUCUAACUCCUCCUUCUGUUCUCUCGUCAGGCCCUGACUAGUGUUGUCCCCCAUAUUCACCUUUGUUCAUCCCAAACUCCAUACCAAUGUUACUGCCUCCACCUCUUUCAUUUUGGGUAGCGCCUCUGGUUCAACAACUUCCCUGGUGAGGGUGGGAUCUCCUUGAAUGGUCACUUUCUCCCUCCUUGUCUAAAAGCCAUUGUUAGUUUCCCCAAUUGAUGGUAACCUCUCCUAAUUUGGCCAACCAGUCCACCCCUAGUAUCAAAUCAACCCCUCCUAACUCAAAAAAAUAAAAAUGUUCUUCUAUCUCCGUUUCCCCUAUCUGCAACUCCCCUACAACAUCCCUGGGUUCUUUUCUUUUGACCAUCGCCUAGACUCACUAGAUAUGGUCUGGUAUUCUCCACUGGCAGUCCCAGUUCCUCCACUAAUUCUUUGGCUAUGAAAUUUUGGCUAGCGCCACUAUUGAUCAGUAUUAACACCCUUUUUCCUCUCACCCACCCCUGCAGUUUCAUUGUCUUAGGUUGGGUGAGGCCCCCAGUCGAGAAUGAAGAGAGUUCUAUCUGUUUCUGAACCAUCUCUUUUGCUUGUUUUGCCUUGUACUCCUCCUCCUCCUCUUCGUCUUCCCCCAGAAUCCACUCUUUGACUUCUUUCUAGGCAGUGAUGGCCACGGCUAUAGGGACCCCCACAAUGGAAACACUGGCCCUCCUGCCUCCGUUUGAUGUACUCUGGGUAUGGCAGGUUUCUCACUCCCCUGCCCGCAGGUGUCGCUCACCACACUGUUCCUCGUUCUGGAUGCCGCUGCUCCCAGAGUUCCCUCUUUCUUGGUCGCGUUCUCGCUCUCUGUGAUCCCUUGCCUCCCUCGACUGUAGCGGGUAGGUUUGAAUCUCGCAACCGUCCCCACACUACCUUGAUAUUGUCCCCACGACUGACCACUUGGUCAUCGUUCCUCCAAUAGCUUUCACCCCUCAAUACGCUUCUUCCACAUCACGCGCAACCUCCGUGGCCGUCAACAAAUCUCUCGGGUUGUCCGGCCUAAUCUGCCUCCUUACGUUGCCUUGCAGGCCAGCGAAGAAGUAUCCUAAGAGUUGGUCUUCUGUCACCCUUGUCGCCUGAGCCACCAACAUCUCAAACUCCUGGAUGUACUCAUCCACCGAACCCCUUUGUUUGAUCGUUGCAAGCCUCUCAAAUACAGUCCCUCAAUCUCAUCCCCCAAACCGCCUCACCAGGGCUUCUCACAAGUCCUCCCAAGAAGGAUUAUGGGCCUUGGCUCUCCAUAAUCGGAACUAGUAACUAGCACUCCCUUCCAUGCAAAUGUACGUCAGUCGGAGUCUUUCUCGUCCCAUAACGUUCUGUGUCUCAAAAAACUUCUCUGCACUAGAAAUCUAGCCCAAUGGGUCAAGCCCUUCGAAGGUGGGUAAGUCAACCCUCUUCACCCAGUUGAGUGGUGCCUCGCCCCUAUCACCUUCUAACUCCUUGUUUGAGCCCUCUCUCCUCCCUCUGCGAUUCGCGUUCACCGAAACCUAACUCUCCUCAGAGUUUCAUUCAAGAUUCCUUGCCCGCCCACCAAGAACCCUUGUGAGUUUUUGGAUUUUUUGUCAUAUAGUCGUAGUGUCUGCCUUCAAACCAUCCAACGUCGUAUCGACUAUUUCCAUCUACCCUUCUAACACGUUCAUCCUUCCCUCUAUUCUCCAAUCUCUCUCGCAAAACGGAUCCGACAGAUCGGACCAAAUGUUAGGUUUCUGGAUAUGAAACCAAUCGAGAACGCCACACGCACACUCAAACAAGAACACAGAACAACAAAGAAAGAAUCUAUAUUGAAUUUCUCUCAACUAUACAGUACACCCCCACACCUCUAAGGGAGCCUAAUUUUCCCUCCACAGGAUAACAGAAUCCUGACUAUACAAAAGAAUUCCAAAAAACUCCCCUGUACACAAAAUAAGAGCUCUUUAUAUGAACUCUUUUCCUGCGCCCUACCUAACUGCCUAACUCUUAUGACAGUUAGGUUUCACUCUCAUUUAACUCUUCUCCUUCUCUCAUAAACCCUCCAUACUCUAUCAGAGACAAUGUCAACAGAUACCCUUGUUCAUUUGCACAACACAAUUUGAUUCAGGUCCAAAGGUAUCUCUAAAAAACUGUUAUACAUUUCAGAUGUUUCCAAAAGGUAACAAUGUUAAGGAAAUAUCAUUAGAGAGUAUUGAUGAGUGAAUCAUUCUAACAUGUAUGACUAUGCCUUGACACCAACCAAGUAGUCAACAUGGAUAUAAUAUGUAAGGUUUAUAAUUCAUGCUUGAUAGAUGAAGAGUGAUAUGAAUUAAUGUGUAGGUGUGUUUUUGUUAUAUAAAAGAGGAAAUGAG